GUGUUUGUAGUCCAACGGUUAGGAUUAUUGUCUUCCAAGCAAUAAACUUGGGUUCAACCUCUGGCAAACGCA
rnacentral:tRNA from 1 species